GGCACGCAGGGCUCGGCGCGGCGGCGGGAGAGCUCCGCGGGCAGGGGCACUCGGAGGCGGCGGCUCCCUGGCGAUGGCUCCCUGCAGCUCGCCGCCUCUCCCGGGGGAAGCCGGGCGGCCUCUGCGUGAGCGCCGCGGGUUAGAUUUCUAGACACUUCCAAGUUUCUACACUCUCAAGGAGCAGAAACUCACUUCUCCUACGAACUGAGACUUCUGUGUUGUCACAGCUCCUGCAAGCCGAGCAGCUCCGGAGACCCCCGGUGAGCUGCCCCAGGAAAGCCACUCCGGCCGCUUUUGUCCCAGCCCACACCACUGUCCUGACCCCGAAUCAGCGCAUCUCCCUGCCGAGAAGCUCUUCCUGAUCUCCAGCCUCAUUUUCUUAGUUUAACCCUGGGAGGAGGUUCACUUAGCAUCAGCCUGGGCACGGCUCCUCAUCCUCCAGGUGACCACAGGCAGACACCGCACGCUGCCUCAAUGCCUGGCAGGUCUGGCUGUGCACACAGGGACAUCUAUACCAUCCCCCAAGCUCCUCGCUCUGGCAGUGCCGCCGCUGCUCCUUCCUGUGCCCUUCCUGUGACACUGGGGGCCGAGGAAGGAGCAUAUCCCUGCCCCUAGGAAGGGCUCUCUCUGGAUGCCCACCAGAGACAUCUCUAUGCCAGCCCCUUCUUCUGGUCCAAGGGCAAAGUGAUGAUCCAGGCAAUUAUCUCCUCUCAUCAGGGAAUGACCGCUCACAUUUUUUGAGAGAAACCUCAGGCAGCUGGAAGCACGUGUGCCCCCAGCUGAGCACUAAAUAUGAUUGUAUUGAUGGCAGUGCAGUGAUUCCCUGCAACCUGGGCUUACCUUCCCUCUUGAGAAACCCCACAUCAGCCUAGCCCUGGAACUGGCCAUCAUGACCCCCUCCUUCCCUGCUUCCUCCCUCCUGUACCAAGGCAAAGGCCAGCAGGACAGCAGGGCUUCCUUUUGGAGCAUCCUAAAAAGAUGUCUGCUGCCAGACAUCCUGGACAGUCCCUGCUGGUCCCAGCCAGACCCAGAUGUGAUGAGCACUAGAUGCUUGCGGCUGGAGCGGCUGCAUUAUAACCACAGUCACUUGAGUCAGCUGAAGGUUUAAUCCCUCUGGCCUGGCCUCCACUGCACGGCUGUUUUGCACCACGAACACCCUGACAGCUGGCUGUCAUCAAGGCUGCCUGAGCCCCGAGUAACACCACGCUGGGCUCCGGUGGCUGCCUCUCCUGCCAGUUUUCCUACUGGCCUCCAGCUCCAGAGCAGUGAUGGCUUCACUGCCACCUGUAUGCCACAGUGGGUGAGGGCAGCGAGGGGCCCACGGCCACACAGGAGCCAAAAUCAGGACUUUGGUGAAUGUAGCAGGAUGGAAGCAGGGAGGGAGAGUUGCUCUGCAGAGUGCCUGACCUUCCUGGGACAUAUGUGAAGGAUGUAUGUAGUGUUGGCUGUGCAAUGUCCAGCUCCUCAGGGAACGCAGGCAGCAUGGGGGCCCAGCAGGCAGAGUGUCCCAUGGAACAUUGCAUCAAUGCUCACAUUUGUGGGAUGUCUUUUUCAAAGACUCUGCUAUGGAGCCAUCAAGCACCUCCCUUCACGCAGUGGAUGGCCUCCCUCACCGACAGCGGAUACGGACAGUCCUGUGGUCUCUGCUGGUCAAAGCCCGGACACUGGUCUGUAACAUCCAGCGAACAGCAGUGCCCACCUGCCUCCCCUGUAGUGUGCUGCCAGCUGGCCAGGAGAGGAAGGUUCUGGCUCUGAGAUCUGCCCCUUGUGUGAGCACUUCCAGGUCCAGAAAUGUAGAGACCUAACGGUGUUUGCAGAUGCAGCCAAAGAACCAGUCUCUGUCCCCUCUCUAACCUGCCAAGCCCCAGAAAACAGCAGAUAUUUGGAGCAGUUUCCUCUCACUUGAGCCUUAUGUACUUUAUUAACAGCCUGACAAAGACAGGAAAAAUAGCUUGAAAGUCACACUCCGCUGACUCUGUUAACAGCACUGUCUGCCGAGUGGGUUUCAAAGGUCCAGCCCAAACCUAAGUACUCUUCCACAAAGGUGUAGAAACUGCUGUCAGUUAACUCAUUUUUGCAUUAGGAAAUUGGACAACAAAUACACAAGUUUAUUUCAGCAUUUCAAAAACCUCCCUCAUGCCCAAAACUGAAGCCCUCAUAAUUGCCUUCUGAAGGCCUCUUUUUAUAUAUUUGAAGUCUUCCUACCCUUCUGACUUCCCUCACUGAAAGCCAGAUAAAACUCUGAACUCUAUAAAGUUAGUAUCUUGUCUGUACAUUAUUUACAAGCAGAACUGGGCCUGUCAUAGAAAGGACAGAUUCAAGUGCAGGAUGAUUUUCAUUGGCAAGGCAAGUAACAUGGAUUUUUUUUUUUUUUCUCCUCAAAAGGUUCCUAAUCCUGCAGGAGUUGUAAUAUUUCUUUUUUCAUUAGGAAGAAAGUGUUGGUAUCAAGUGCCCCUUCUCAUAUUUCCUACCUGUGUUUGGAGAAAUAAAUCAUGAAUGCUUUUGCUUCCAAAUGAUUAACUGUUUAAAUAAAGCACUGUCAUGUUGCUCCUCUUUUAACAUUGGUGCUGUGAAUUAACCUGGAGACACUGCAGCGAGCCUUUAACCCCCUCUGCCUCAGCAUAACAUGCAUGAUGGUCUCACUCUGGUUCUCUGCACGUGGCUUGUCCCUUGCUGCUUUUGCACUGUGAGGAAAACUGGAGCUUUCUUCCAUGUCUUGCUGUUUACAUUGCUAGGCACACGCCUGCAAAAAUAUUUUCCACUUACUUUAUUUUAAGGCUCUUUCUUUGGCAUUUUCAGUCACACCCUGGAGACACACCUGAAAGGAAAGAAAACAGUACCUGGAUGUUAGCUUGUGCAAUGCUUGUCAUUAAACCGUGCAUAAUGACAAAAACCCCUCCUGCCAUUUGUUAAGAUUUUCCCCACAGCAUUACGUAUCUCUUAAUUAAGAGCAGAAGCUAAGUAAUACCUAUUUUAUUACCUCUUGCGUCCAAUUAAUCACCCAUUGAUCAUUACCCAUUCAACAUCAGACAAUUAACAGAGCCCCCAUUCUCUGCAGGACAGGGAUGUGUAGUCCUUCAGAAAUGACAUGUCCAGAAUAACUUGAGGGGAGCUGUGUGGAUGAGUAAUGGGCAAGAGGUGGGGGGGAGGGGAGGAAAAGGCCACCCAAGUGGAACAAAAGACAUGUAGCAUAUGCAAAUGUUCAAUAUGUGGUAUGUGUUUUAUACACUGGAUGUAUGUGAGGUCAUGGACAAAGCUCAGCUGGCGGCCGCACUGCUUUUGGGAGGCAUGGGAAUUUGAGGGAAAGCUUGAGCUCUCGUGUGAUCAAAUGUACCUAGUUCUCUCUCUUUAAAACAGCAAGCUGUUCUCCAUGUGGCUCAUUGCCUUUGUUUUUUUAGGAGGGCAGGAUUUAGCCUCUGCUUCUCCAUUGUCACUGGGACUAUGGGCUGUAGCACACAGCCCCAGCCAGCUCAUCCCAGGGCCUGUCAGCAGCUCCCCGCAGUUGUGCCUGAGCUGCUGCCGACAGAGCAGGCAGCUCUGGGUGUCCAAGGGCCUCCAGGGAAGCUGCAGGCUCCUUCUCCACUGCCACUCUCUCCUGGAAGCCUGUCCCAGGGAGAGUGAUGGCCCAGGCCCUGUGUGGUGCCAGGAGGGGUGUGCUGGGACCCCUGCAGGCCUUUCCCAACACCAGGGACCCUUCCUCUAUGACUAGCAUCUUCUAGCUGGGGAAAUCCAGCAACCUGUGGGAUUGAGGCAGCCCAGAGCCUGAACUGCAGCAGUGAAUAAAGCACAGGGAAUGCCAGGGCUCACAGACAGGCCUCUGGCAUGAGGCUGAGCUCCAACAGUCACAAAGCAGCCCUGCAUUCUUUUUUCUUUUUCCAGAUUAGAAUUCAUCCAUUACAGGGCUCAGGAAUUUAGUGUGAAGCUGUGACAAUAGAUAGCUGAGCAAACUUCACAAGGCUCUGGGUGCAGGAGCUCAGCAACAAAUGCUUGUGCACAAAAAGCAAACCAGAGCCCUUGGCAAGCUCUAGCCUGGCUGUAGGGGAGGAAGGAUAAUCUCAUUUCUUUACUCUUUGCCCUUUUAGCUAUUCACAGAGCUUAAUGCUGAGUUAUUCCCAACAAUGAGCCAAACAAUCAAACUUCCAUCUGGCUUGGUCGGGCAGAACCAACACUUGCUUCGCAGUCACAGGCCACACCAAUGCUGGGAUUUUUUCCCCCUCUUGAACAUACACUGUUUUCCUCUGUGCUGUAAGAGAAGAUAUUUACAUUUGGAAGCAGAAACCGCAGUUCAUGCUCCUCAGCCUGCUCUAAUCUCAUUGCCCAAAUCCCUGGGCACAGGGAGGCACAGGCGCUGUGAGCACAGCUGCUGCUGCAAACACAGCUGCUGCUGCAACCUUUGGCUCUGCCUCUCCACCACACGAUGCAGUGCCUACCAGCUAGCGACCUGCUUUUCCUGGGAGGGCAGCACUCCUGCACACUGCCGCCGCAGGCUCCAAACUGCAGCCGUGCCCUUGGGAGAAAUGUUUUCUCUCCCCAUCUCUAAAAUCAGCUGCAGGCUGCUCUUUGCAGUAGCCAGAGACCCACAGCAUCUCUGGGCUGUAGAAGCAGUGCUUGCUGCUACCACCUCUCCUGGUUUGGGAAUAGGGAUUGUAACAGAUCAUAUAGCGGGAUCAGCAGGGGAAAAAAAAUAAAAAGGAAAACAAGAAGAAGAAAAAAGAGCAGCUCUUUUGUUGUUAACAACAUUUUGUGCUCUAAUCUACUCAUGUCCCAGUUUUUCAUUUUUGUUAAGCAUUCAGCUAAAGGGGAGGAAUACAAGGAGACUGAUGUUUGUGUUGAUGUUUUUACGUGUGAAUUUCCUUUUGAGUUACAGAUUACUGUACACACACAUAAGAACAGGCUCUGUAAUAGAAGUAAAGAGAAAAUAUCUUACAGACUUAAGAGAAGCCAGCCUUUCCCCUCUAACAUUCCAAAUGAAUCUCUGCAGCCUAGUUUUAGCUGUCAGAAGUUCUCCUGAGAAAUUUAGAAGCACUGAGUGGGAGACAUGAGCACCCUACUCAUGUGGCAAUCCCAGCAAGGGCCCUCUUUUCUGUGGAAAGGACACGGGUUCUGCUUCGGUCUGUGCUGGUUUAGUCUGAAAAUAAAGUGCCCCUUUCUUCAGUUAAAAUGGCAGGGAAUGCUGCUCCAGUUGACAGGAGUCCCCUCAGUGAUAAAAUAUCCCUGUGUGUGUCACAGGAAAUGAUAAUCACUGCUUUCCAAGACUGCAGAACACAAUGAGAUUUCUGAGCUACAAACAGACUUCAAUUAUUCUUGAAAGACAGACAGACCCUCAAACUGACACAACUGGAGAAAAUAAAUAUCCUUUUGUCUGCACUGCUGGUGGUAAUUUCCCAUUAGACAGGAAAAGGCUUCUUUGAUGAAUGAAUAUUGUCUACACUUUAGAAGAGGAGCUACUGUAUAUCUCCUAAUAGCUAUUGCAUGCUUGGGCUCAGCCCUGUGUGAGGCCCUUAAACCCCUUGGGUACAAUAUGGUAGCAUUCAUUAGCAUGCUGCCUUUUUUAUUGCAGCACUUGAGAAAAGGAUAGUGCAUGUUAAAAUAAAUUUGAACAGCUUUCCACUCACCUUGAAGUUAUAUGGCAAGAGCGAGAUAUUUAGCAAUCUGCCUUCUUGGGCUGCAGACAGUCCUUUCCAGUCUAGAGGCUUCAGAAGAAACACUCACACUGGAGACAUAUUUUCCAUUUGUGAUUAUUCUUGUAAUUUUAGCAGUUAAUCACUUUUCUGUCUUGUAUUUACUUUGUUUUUCUACAGUGGUAAGUAAAUCAAAACCAUACCAUCACCCAGAACUACACUGAGCACUAUUUACAUAAGCCAAAGAAUAUCAUGUUAGUGCCUUUGACAAACUUUUGUCUUUUUCAAAGAUCACCAGGUCUCACAUAAUUGUCUUCUCACAGAAAUAUAAUAACCAUACUAACCAUCCCUUUCAGAGCAGUGUCCCAUUUCCACCUGUCACAUUUCCUGACACUGGUCUUGGAUUAAGCUUGGCUUAGAGAUGCCUGGGUCACCCACAGAGUCCUUUCUGCUGCUGAGAUUAAAAAACCCAAACAACAAAACUCCCAACAUUAAGAAAAAGAAGCAGAAGAGCUACCGAUGAGAAAUGGUCUGGAUUUGCCACUCGACAGUGGCACCAGUCUGCACACAAGCCAGCUGCAGGCAGAGAUCCGGC